GACGAACGCUGGCGGCGUGCCUAAUACAUGCAAGUAGAACGCACAGUUUAUACCGUAGCUUGCUACACCAUAAACUGUGAGUUGCGAACGGGUGAGUAACGCGUAGGUAACCUGCCUGGUAGCGGGGGAUAACUAUUGGAAACGAUAGCUAAUACCGCAUAAUAUUGAUUAUUGCAUGAUAAUUGAUUGAAAGAUGCUAUUGCAUCACUACCAGAUGGACCUGCGUUGUAUUAGCUAGUAGGUGAGGUAACGGCUCACCUAGGCGACGAUACAUAGCCGACCUGAGAGGGUGAUCGGCCACACUGGGACUGAGACACGGCCCAGACUCCUACGGGAGGCAGCAGUAGGGAAUCUUCGGCAAUGGACGAAAGUCUGACCGAGCAACGCCGCGUGAGUGAAGAAGGUUUUCGGAUCGUAAAGCUCUGUUGUAAGAGAAGAACGGGUGUGAGAGUGGAAAGUUCACACUGUGACGGUAGCUUACCAGAAAGAGACGGCUAACUACGUG
rnacentral:rRNA from 1 species